GAAUCUACCCCUAGCUGCGGAAUAACUCAGAGAAAUUUGAGCUAAUACCGCAUAAUGUCGUAAGACCAAAGAUUUAUUCGGCAAGGUGAUGAGCCCGCGAUAAGAUUAGCUUGUUGGUUGAGGUAAAAGCUCACCAAGGCGACGAUCUUUAGCUGGUCUGAGAGGAUGAUCAGCCACACUGGGACUGAGACACGGUCCAGACUCCUACGGGAGGCAGCAGUGGGGAAUAUUGGACAAUGGGCGAAAGCCUGAUCCAGCAAUGCCGCGUGAGUGAUGAAGGCCCUAGGGUUGGUAAAGGCUCUUUUAACUAGGGGAUGAAUAAUGACAAGUACCUUAGAGAAUUAAGCCUCCGGCUUAACUCCGUGGCCAGCAGCCCGGAAUCGAGGGACCACGUUGUCGGAUAA
rnacentral:rRNA from 1 species